rnacentral:rRNA from 1 species
UACGUAGGAGGCAAGCGUUGUCCGGAAUUACUGGGCGUAAAGCGCGUGUAGGUGGUGGGACAAGUCUGCUGUGAAAUCCCCAGGCUUAACCUGGGAAGUGCGCGGAAAACUGGCGAGCUUGAGUGCCGGAGAGGGUCGCGGAAUUCCCGGUGUAGAGGUGAAAUUCGUAGAUAUCGGGAGGAACACCAGUGGCGAAGGCGGCGGCCUGGACGGACACUGACGCUGAGACGCGAAAGCGUGGGGAGCAAACAGG